ensembl:lncRNA
UGAGCUCCAUCAACCUGAAAACACAGGCACACAGCUUUGUCCCUUUACGUUUUUGCACAACCUCUGCGAAUCAGGCAGUAUUUGUACCUUCUGGAUAAGGGAAGCCAAGCAGGACAUUUCAGGAGCGGGGAAGCUCCGAGGACCAUUUGGCACCGGUUGGAGUAGCCAAGUAGGUUGUGCCAGGCAGCCAGGCCUGAGAUUCGAGGCCGAAUGCAGUGGGAGCUCAGCUCAGGUCCGGGAGCGACGGCGCACGCAGCAGCUCAGGGGCUGCCUCUGGCACGGCCGGCUUUGAACUCUGUCUGAAGUGAGCUGUGCUUUGGCCCCCGACAUAAAUUAGAGCAACCUGGAGACUGUUAUAAAUUACAAAAGUGCUCUAGCCCCAGAGGCAGGCACACAUCUGGCCACACUCCCAUCAGGGGAGCGGUGUUGGAGGUAUUAGUUUGACUCUGUCUCACAGUUGGACUUCCCUUUACUGGGGUGAUCUUCUCAGGGCUGCUUAUUCCAGGAUUAGGGCUGUUCUGCUAUCCGAGCUGUGAAGUCAUUUCCAUCGUUGCUUUUCUGGGAAUUUUUUAGAGUAACGAGCUGAAGUGUCUUCAGCCCGUGUGCCUGCCUUCGUCCCCGGCACUGUGCCACCACCCUGGCUGAGGGAGGAUCAGCCCUCGCAUCCGGAGCCCUGGAGGAGAACCUGCCACAACACUGCUUCCUUUUCUGCCGUGCAGUGUGGAUCAAACACGACCAAACCGCGUUGGGUUACGGUCCAGAAGCGCUUCAGAGAAGAGCUAGAGAACAGGAAAAGAAGUGUAGGUGCCGUGCGGUGGCGUAGCCACAGCCCCGGGCGCCCGUCUCGGCGAGGAAGCGGCUGGAGAUGGCUUGGUCCGGUCAGGGUCUUUCCAUCAGCAAGUUCCUUUGCGGUGAUUCAGCGUUCCUCCCCUUGGCUGCUGAGCCGCGUGCAAGCCUCCAAGCGCUCCUGCCUGUAACGUGACCCCUGAGAAGUGUCGAGCAAGCUCCCUGCCCGCCAGGACUGCUGUGGCACGGCUGGAGAUAACCAGUGUGGCAUGAGAGCUGAGCGAAAUCUGCAGAGCAGCGGGAGCAAGCAGGAGACAGCUAAGAAACGGAGGCCUUUACUGAAGGCUCAGUGGGGCAAAAAGCUUCUUGAGUUCAGCCAGCUCGUGGUCCAUCCUCCCUAACAUCAUCUGCUGAGCUGUUUCUCCCACCAAGGAGACCUUACCUACCUCUGUGGUGCGGGACAGCAAUAUCCCUAUGCUACUCUUUCUACACCAAUAGCAGCAGCUGGGGGAGCCUCACCCCCCCAAGUCACGCUAGCACCGAGCACAUCUGGCUGCACGGGAAGCGCCUGAUCACUGACACUUUUCCUCUUCUGCAACUGCAAAGAGUUUGGAUCGUGGUAUCGGGCAUUCGCAUGUGACUCACACGUCAGGAAAUGAAGGAGGAGGAGCAGACGGCGGCAGCAUUUCUGAAGCAAGCAAGCACUGAAGGCGUGCUCAGUAGUAGCUCAGUCCCUUGCCAGUGCCACUGUUGUGACAUCUACAGCUUGUGGUGUCACCUGGUCAGCGUGGACAGAGGCGCAGUUCACAUGGCAGCACAUUGAACAACAGUCCCAUCUCAAAGUGCUGUUGUCGCCUAGU